GAUGAACGCUGGCGGCGUGCCUAAUACAUGCAAGUCGAGCGAAAAGACGAGGAGCUUGCUCCUCUGUCGUUAGCGGCGGACGGGAGAGUAACACGUGGAUAACCUACCUAUCAGACUGAGAUAACUACGGGAAACCGGAGCAAAUCCCGGAUAAUAUAUUGAACCGCAUGGUGCAAUAGUGAAAGACGGCUUUGCUGUCACUUAUAGCUGGAUCCGCGCCGCAUUAGAUAGUUGUUAAGGUAACGGCUUACCAAGGCGACGAUGCGUAGCCGACCUGAGAGGGUGAUAGGCCACACGGGAACUGAGACACGGUCCAGACUCCUACGAGAGGCAGCAGUAGGGAAUCUUACGCAAUGGGCGAAAGCCUGGCGGAGCAACGCCACGUGAGAGAUGGAGGUCUUCGGAUCGGAAAACUCUGUUAUUAGGGAAGAACAAAUGUGUAAGUAACUAUGCACGUCUUGACGGUACCUAAUCAGAAAGCCACGGCUAACUACGUG
rnacentral:rRNA from 1 species